rnacentral:lncRNA from 1 species
CCCUCUUUCCAUCCAAAUUAUUACUGAGGUAUCUUUGCUUUGUCAGUGAUUGGAUUUCUGUGGGCCACUUUGCGGCUUGUCACCCAUCCACCAUCGUUUCUGUCCUCCGAGUCGAGCAGAAACCUCAUCGUGACUCUUAAAGAACAGAGAGAGGAUUAGGCCUGACUGAAGGGGAUAGGCCUCCUUCAGGAAAGCAAGGAUGGUUGCAUCAAAAUGUCAUUAAUAGAAGCUUCCACUAGCCAUCAUGCAGGGCACUGUGCUCAGUAGUUUGCACACAUCAUGUGGCAUUCCUUUUACAGCCCUUUCCGGGAGCCUCUGAGAAGCAAAUACAUACACUGUUCUCCUCUAAAAGGUUUGUAUAUCCUUCCACUUGUAGUAGUGUCUCCAUUUUUCUGAACUUUAGUU